rnacentral:lncRNA from 1 species
UAAACAGAAUCGUGAUCGUUAACUCAAACUGAAAUCAAGUAAUCUAGCAAAGGUGAAGUCAUACUUCUGUCAGAAACAGAGAUCUCUUUCAAACUGUAUAGCCUUCGAAUUCAGAAUUUAGUUCUGAAUUCAAACUGAAAAUUAAACAGCAUACGUUACCGCGUUGAUGCGGAAACCAAAGAGUUACUUGGAGUGACUUCAUUUAGCGCAGGGAGAGAUAGAAACCGAGGAGGACUAAACUUGCAGACUUUGAAAUCAAGUUUCAAAGGAAAAGUUGCAGACUUUGAAAUCAAGUUUCAUAUACAAAGAAUUGAAUUGAUCUUUAAUUAACAAAAGAAGG